rnacentral:rRNA from 1 species
GUCCACGCCUAACGAUGUCAACUGGUUGUUGGACGGCUUGCUGUUCAGUAACGAAGCUAACGCGUGAAGUUGACCGCCUGGGAGUACGGCCGCAAGGUUGAAACUCAAAGGAAUUGACGGGACCCGCACAAGCGGUGGAUGAUGUGGUUUAAUUCGAUGCAACGCGAAAACCUUACCUACCCUUGACAUGUCAAGAAUCUUGCAGAGAUGUGAGAGUGCUCGAAAGAGAACUUGAACACAGGUGCUGCAUGGCCGUCGU